GAUGAACGCUGGCGGCGUGCCUAAUACAUGCAAGUAGAACGCUGAAGGAGGAGCUUGCUCUUCUGGAUGAGUUGCGAACGGGUGAGUAACGCGUAGGUAACCUGCCUGGUAGCGGGGGAUAACUAUUGGAAACGAUAGCUAAUACCGCAUGACAACAGUUAUUGCAUGAUAACUGUUUAAAAGGGGCAACUGCUCCACUACCAGAUGGACCUGCGUUGUAUUAGCUAGUUGGUGAGGUAACGGCUCACCAAGGCGACGAUACAUAGCCGACCUGAGAGGGUGAUCGGCCACACUGGGACGGAGACACGGCCCAGACUCCUACGGGAGGCAGCAGGAGGGAAUCUUCGGCAAUGGACGGAAGUCUGACCGAGCAACGCCGCGUGAGUGAAGAAGGUUUUCGGAUCGUAAAGCUCUGUUGUAAGAGAAGAACGAGUGUGAGAGUGGAAAGUUCACACUGUGACGGUAUCUUACCAGAAAGGUACGGCUAACUACGUG
rnacentral:rRNA from 1 species